GAUGAACGCUGGCGGCGUGCUUAACACAUGCAAGUCGAACGAUGAAGCCCAGCUUGCUGGGUGGAUUAGUGGCGAACGGGUGAGUAACACGUGAGUAACCUGCCCUUAACUCUGGGAUAAGCCUGGGAAACUAGGUCUAAUACCGGAUAGGAGCGUCCACCGCAUGGUGGGUGUUGGAAAGAUUUAUCGGUUUUGGAUGGACUCGCGGCCUAUCAGCUUGUUGGUGAGGUAAUGGCUCACCAAGGCGACGACGGGUAGCCGGCCUGAGAGGGUGACCGGCCACACUGGGACUGAGACACGGCCCAGACUCCUACGGGAGGCAGCAGUGGGGAAUAUUGCACAAUGGGCGAAAGCCUGAUGCAGCGACGCCGCGUGAGGGAUGACGGCCUUCGGGUUGUAAACCUCUUUCAGUAGGGAAGAAGCGAAAGUGACGGUACCUGCAGAAGAAGCACCGGCUAACUACGUG
rnacentral:rRNA from 1 species